rnacentral:rRNA from 1 species
AGCAGCCGCGGUAAUUCCAGCUCCAAUAGCGUAUAUUAAAGUUGUUGCAGUUAAAAAGCUCGUAGUUGAAUUUCGGGGUUAGCAGGUCGGUCGUGCCAUCGGUAUGAACUGGUCUCGCUGAUCCCUCCCUCUUGACGAACUGUGAUGCCAUUAAUUUGGUGUCGCAGGGAAUCAGGACUGUUACUUUGAAAAAAUUAGAGUGUUUAAAGCAGGCUCACGCUUGAAUACAUUAGCAUGGAAUAAUGAAAUAGGACGUUUGAUCCUAUUUUGUUGGUUUCUAGGAUUGACGUAAUGAUUAAUAGGGAUAGUUGGGGGCAUUAGUAUUCAAUUGUCAGAGGUGAAAUUCUUGGAUUUAUUGAAGACUAACUACUAACGAAAGCAAUUUGCCAAGGAUGUUUUCAUUAAUCAAGUAACGAAAGUUAGGGGAUCGAAGACGAUCAGAUACCGUCGUAGUCUUAACCAUAAACUAUAGCCGACCUAGGGUAUCCGGAAUGAUGUUAAUUUUUUAAUAGUACUCUAU